CUAACCUGCCCACUGAUUUAUUAAAGGGCCGCGGUAUAUUGACUGUGCAAAGGUAGCAUAAUCAUUUGUCUUUUAAUUGAAGGCUAGAAUGAAUGGUUGAAUGAAGUAUUAACUGUCUCAUUAUAAAAAAAAUAAAAAUUUAAUUUUUUAGUCAAAAAGCUAAAAUUUAAUUAGAGGACGAGAAGACCCUAUAGAUCUUUAUAUUAUGUUUAUAAAUAAAUUUAUUGAAUAAAAAAUAUUAUUUAAAAAUAUAGUAUUUUGUUGGGGUGACAGGAAAAUUUAAAAAACUAUUUUUAUUAUUAAACAAUAAUAAUUGAAUAAUUGAUCCAAUAAUAUUGAUUAAAAGUUUAAGUUACCUUAGGGAUAACAGCGUAAUUUUUUUGGCGAGUUCAUAUUAAUAAAAAAGAUUGCGACCUCGAUGUUGAAUUAAAGAU
rnacentral:rRNA from 1 species